rnacentral:rRNA from 1 species
GACGGAGGUGGCAAGCGUUGCUCGGAUUUAUUGGGUGUAAAGGGUCGGUAGGCGGUUUUGUAAGUGCCCGGUGAAAUCCCACGGCUUAACCGUGGAACGUUCGGGUAGACUGCAAGACUUGAGGACUGGAGGGGCAGGCGGAAUUCCCGGUGGAAGGGUGAAAUCUUUAGAGAUCGGGAGGAACACCAGUGGCGAAGGCGGCCUGCUGGACAGUCCCUGACGCUGAGCGACGAAAGCGUGGGGAGCAAACAGGAUUAG